rnacentral:rRNA from 1 species
UACAGAGGGGGCAAGCGUUGUUCGGAAUUACUGGGCGUAAAGGGCGCGUAGGCGGCCCUCUAAGUCAGACGUGAAAUCCCUCGGCUCAACCGGGGAACUGCGUCUGAGACUGGAAGGCUUGAAUUCGGGAGAGGGAUGUGGAAUUCCAGGUGUAGCGGUGAAAUGCGUAGAUAUCUGGAGGAACACCGGUGGCGAAGGCGGCAUCCUGGACCGAAACUGACGCUGAUGCGCGAAAGCCAGGGGAGCAAACGGG